GAUGAACGCUAGCGGCAGGCUUAACACAUGCAAGUCGAGGGGCAGCGCGGGAUAGCAAUAUCCUGGCGGCGACCGGCGGAAGGGUGCGUAACGCGUGAGCGACAUGCCCGUUGCCCGGGGACAACCGGUGGAAACGCCGACUAAUCCCCGAUGGGAUACGAUGCUUCAUGGCAUUGUAUUGAAAGUUACGGCGGCGGCGGAUUGGCUCGCGUCCGAUUAGCUGGUUGGCGGGGUAACGGCCCACCAAGGCUGCGAUCGGUAGGGGUUCUGAGAGGAAGGCCCCCCACAAUGGGAGUGAGACACGGCCCAUACUCCGAAGGGAGGCGGCAGUGAGGAAUAGUGGUCAAUGGGCGGAAGCCGGAACCAGCCAUGCCGCGUGCGGGAAGGAGGCCCUAUGGGCUGUGAACCGCUUUUGCCUGGGGGAAAUAAGGGCGUCGCGCACGUCCGAUGAGAGUACCAGGCGAAUAAGCAUCGGCUAACUCCGUG
rnacentral:rRNA from 1 species